AUUGAACGCUGGCGGCAGGCCUAACACAUGCAAGUCGAGCGGACGAAGGGAGCUUGCUCCUGGAUUCAGCGGCGGACGGGUGAGUAAUGCCUAGGAAUCUGCCCUGUCGUGGGGGAUAACGUCCGGAAACGGGCGCUAAUCCCGCAUACGACCUGAGGGAGAAAGUGGGGGAUCUUCGGACCUCACGCUAUCAGAUGAGCCUAGGUCGGAUUAGCUAGUUGGUGGGGUAAAGGCCUACCAAGGCGACGAUCCGUAACUGGUCUGAGAGGAUGAUCAGUCACACUGGAACUGAGACACGGUCCAGACUCCUACGGGAGGCAGCAGUGGGGAAUAUUGGACAAUGGGCGAAAGCCUGAUCCAGCCAUGCCGCGUGUGUGAAGAAGGUCUUCGGAUUGUAAAGCACUUUAAGUUGGGAGGAAGGACAGUAAAUUAAUACCUUGCUGUUUUGACGGUACCAACAGAAUAAGCACCGGCUAACUUCGUG
rnacentral:rRNA from 1 species